rnacentral:rRNA from 1 species
GACGAACGCUGGCGGCGUGCUUAACACAUGCAAGUCGAACGGUGAAGCACCUUCCUUUUGGUGGGUGUGGAUGAGUGGCGAACGGGUGAGUAACACGUGAGUAACCUGCCCCCUUCUUCUGGAUAACCGCAUGAAAGUGUGGCUAAUACGGGAUAUUCUGCGCCUGCUGCAUGGUGGGUGUGGGAAAGAUGCGCCUUUGGGUGUUUUUGGUGGGGGAUGGGCUCGCGGCCUAUCAGCUUGUUGGUGGGGUGAUGGCCUACCAAGGCGGUGACGGGUAGCCGGCCUGAGAGGGUGGACGGUCGCACUGGGACUGAGACACGACCCAGACUCCUACGGGAGGCAGCAGUGGGGAAUAUUGCACAAUGGGCGCAAGCCUGAUGCAGCGACGCCGCGUGAGGGAUGGAGGCCUUCGGGUUGUAAACCUCUUUCGCCAGUGAAGCAGGCCUGCCUCGUUUGUGGGUGGGUUGAUCGGAGCUGAUAAGAAGCGCCG